rnacentral:rRNA from 1 species
CCAAAAACUAAAACGUACCCACUUCGGACUGCAGUCUGCAACUCGACUGCACGAAGCUGGAAUCGCUAGUAAUACGCGGAUCAGAAUGCCGCGGUGAAUACGUUCCCGGGUCUUGUACACACCGCCCGUCACACCAUGGGAGUCAGUAACGCCCGAAGUCAGUGACCUAACCGAAAGGGAGGAGCUGCCGAAGGCGGGACGGAUGACUGGGGUGAAGUCGUAACAAGGUAUC